rnacentral:rRNA from 1 species
UACGGGGGGGGCAAGCGUUGUUCGGAAUUACUGGGCGUAAAGGGCUCGUAGGUGGCCAACUAAGUCGGACGUGAAAUCCCUCAGCUUAACUGGGGAACUGCGUCCGAUACUGGAUGGCUUGAGUUUGGGAGAGGGAUGCGGAAUUCCAGGUGUAGCGGUGAAAUGCGUAGAUAUCGGGAGGAACACCUGAGAUGUAGAUGGCUUACUGGACCGUAACUGACGCUGAGGCACGAAAGCGUGGGGAGCGAACAGG